GACGAACGCUGGCGGCGUGCCCAAUACAUGCAAGUAGAACGCACAGUUUAUACCGUAGCUUGCUACACCAUAGACUGUGAGUUGCGAACGGGUGAGUAACGCGUAGGUAACCUGCCUGGUAGCGGGGGAUAACUAUUGGAAACGAUAGCUAAUACCGCAUAAUAUUGAUUAUUGCAUGAUAAUUGAUUGAAAGAUGCUAUUGCAUCACUACCAGAUGGACCUGCGUUGUAUUAGCUAGUAGGUGAGGUAACGGCUCACCUAGGCGACGAUACAUAGCCGACCUGAGAGGGUGAUCGGCCACACUGGGACUGAGACACGGCCCAGACUCCUACGGGAGGCAGCAGUAGGGAAUCUUCGGCAAUGGACGAAAGUCUGACCGAGCAACGCCGCGUGAGUGAAGAAGGUUUUCGGAUCGUAAAGCUCUGUUGUAAGAGAAGAACGGGUGUGAGAGUGGAAAGUUCACACUGUGACGGUAUCUUACCAGAAAGGGACGGCUAACUACGUG
rnacentral:rRNA from 1 species